CUGUAGUUCAGCCGUGUGCUCUUCCCUGAUCUCUCAGGCUUCCGCGUGGACCUGGGCUCUCUGCAUUUUUAUAUUCGCCCCUUCUGCCCUCAGUGGCGUUACUUGUUACAAUCCUACCGCGCUCGUUUGCUGCGCUGUUCAGACCUGUGCGUCCUUCAGUCAGGGCCACUGCAUGUCGCUUCAUCGCUAAUCUCUGCAUAUCGGAGCCAGUCACGCUCACGCUGUUGCAGCCUUCAAAUCACGAUAACCUACUGCCGGGUCGCAGUCCUCGCGCAACUCUUUUGCAGGCCCAUGUCGUUUUCGGCAACAAUUUCUCAAGCUUCAGCAUCUGGUUGUUAAGGUUAUCGUGCUCUCUCUUCCCAAGCUCCUCGAGCUGGGCUACACUCUACCCACAGUCAUGCAACCUGCUUGCCAACGAUAUUCGGCGGGCAGCAAACAAACUGACUUGUCUGACACGGUUUAACUUUCACUUAAGCCUCCUUA